UACCUGCAGCUCGAGUGGUAACCGCUAUUAUUGGGCCUAAAGCGUCCGUAGCCGGUUUGGUAAAUAUCUUGGUAAAUCGUGAGGCUUAACUUCACGAACUUCGGAUAGACUGCCAGACUUGGGAUCGGGGGAGGUCAGAGGUACUCCAGGGGUAGCGGUGAAAUGUUGUAAUCCUUGGAGGACCACCGGUAGCGAAGGCGUCUGACUAGAACGAGUCCGACGGUGAGGGACGAAGCCCUGGGGGCGCAAACCGGGAUUAGAUACCCGGGUAGUCCAGGGUGUAAACGAUGUGGGCUUUGUAUUGGAGGUCCCACGUGGGCGUCCAGUGCAGAAGAGAAGUUGUUAAGCCCACCGCCUGGGAAGUACGGUCGCAAGGCUGAAACUUAAAGGAAUUGGCGGGGAGCACAGCAACGGGAGGAGCGUGCGGUUU
rnacentral:rRNA from 1 species